UAGAGCUCAUUGUGGAUGCUCUUAUAAAGGGCAAUCAUUAAUUCAUUCACAGAACCCACAAAAACAUGAACCCUUAAAAACAAAUUUGAGGUUGAUAAAGAGAAGAGAUGGGAAUUGAAGCAAAGAAAAUCUUAAGAGCUUGGUGGCAUCAGAAGAAAUGGUAUAGUUGAUGGUCCAGAGCCUCAAGGCCUCGAUGCUUAUUAGGGCAUCUAGCGAAAAAAAAAUUUAUAGAGGGAGAGGAGAAAGGAGAGGAGAUGUUGCAGAGUUCGGGGAGCCAUAACACAUGGAAGCUUUGUAAUUGGGGGGGAGCUAUUAAAAGAUGGACUUCAUGGACAGAUUCGAAUCCUGGGAGAAAAUUGAGGCCUGUGAGAAUAAUCAGAAAAACAGAGGCAAAGCUCAUCAUUGGGAGUGAGUGGACAAAGAGAUAUGCCCAUUAGGAAAGGAAGUUCUGCCUGGGUUGCUAAGAAGAAUAAGAGGUAUGGAGCAGAAACUGAAUCAAAUAGAAGAAGUUAAUGAAGGACUGAAAGAUAAGCUCAAAGCAAUUGAGCAAGAAAACAAGGAAUUGAAAGCAACAGUUGGAAGACUGGGAAGGCAGAAAAUGAAGAGGGAUGAGAAAAUUAUGGUGUAUCGACAUAGAGGGAAACUAAUGUGGGUGGGUCUAUUUGUGGCAUGGGUUCUUGGUGUCAUGGUUGCAAUGAUGAUGAUUAAGAUCCUAAAUUUGUCUGAAAAAAUUCCAAAGAAUUUGAUGAUCAAAUAGUGAAAUGUGUAAUGAGUUUGGUACAUUUGUGUCAUUGCAUAACUUGAAUCUAAAGUUGGGUACAUUUGUGCCAUUUGCA